GGGCUCACUUUGGUAGCAAGCACAUAUACUGAAAUUGCAAUGAUAAAGAGAAGAUUACCUGGCCCCUGUACAAGGAUGACAGGCAAAUCAUGAAGUGUUCCAUAUCUUU